GACGAACGCUGGCGGCGUGCUUAACACAUGCAAGUCGAGCGAUGAAGCACCUUCGGGUGUGAAUUAGCGGCGAACGGGUGGGGAACACGUGAGAAAUCUGCCUUCAACACUGGGAUAACUCCGGGAAACCGGGGCUAAUACCGGAUAUGAAACCUGCGGGCAUCCGCGGGUCUGGAAAGUUUUUCGGUUGAAGAUGACCUCGCGGCCUAUCAGCUUGUUGGUGAGGUAAUGGCUCACCAAGGCGACGACGGGUAGCCGGCCUGAGAGGGCGACCGGCAACACUGGGACUGAGACACGGCCCAGACUCCUACGGGAGGCAGCAGUGCGGAAUAUUGGGCAAUGGAGGAAACUCUGACCCAGCGACGCCGCGUGCGGGAUGAAGGCCUUCGGGUUGUAAACCGCUUUCAGCAGGGAAGAAGCGAAAGUGACGGUACCUGCAGAAGAAGCACCGGCUAACUAUGUGCCAGCCGCCGCUGUAA
rnacentral:rRNA from 1 species